rnacentral:rRNA from 1 species
CCUACGGGGAGCAGCAGUGAGGAAUAUUGGUCAAUGGACGAGAGUCUGAACCAGCCAAGUAGCGUGAAGGAUGACUGCCCUAUGGGUUGUAAACUUCUUUUAUAUGGGAAUAAAAUGUUCCACGUGUGGGAUUUUGUAUGUACCAUAUGAAUAAGGAUCGGCUAACUCCGUGCCAGCAGCCGCGGUAAUACGGAGGAUCCGAGCGUUAUCCGGAUUUAUUGGGGUUAAAGGGAGCGUAGGUGGAUUGUUAAGUCAGUUGUGAAAGUUUGCGGCUCAACCGUAAAAUUGCAGUUGAAACUGGCAGUCUUGAGUACAGUAGAGGUGGGCGGAAUUCGUGGUGUAGCGGUGAAAUGCUUAGAUAUCACGAAGAACUCCGAUUGCGAAGGCAGUUCACUGGACUGCAACUGACACUGAGGCUCGAAAGUGUGGGUAUCAAACAGGAUUAGAUACCCGUGUAGUC